rnacentral:rRNA from 1 species
GAUGAACGCUGGCGGCGUGCCUAAUACAUGCAAGUCGAGCGAACAGACGAGGAGCUUGCUCCUCUGACGUUAGCGGCGGACGGGUGAGUAACACGUGGAUAACCUACCUAUAAGACUGGGAUAACUUCGGGAAACCGGAGCUAAUACCGGAUAAUAUAUUGAACCGCAUGGUUCAAUAGUGAAAGACGGUUUUGCUGUCACUUAUAGAUGGAUCCGCGCCGCAUUAGCUAGUUGGUAAGGUAACGGCUUACCAAGGCGACGAUGCGUAGCCGACCUGAGAGGGUGAUCGGCAACACUGGAACUGAGACACGGUCCAGACUCCUACGGGAGGCAGAAGUAGGGAAUCUUCCGCAAUGGGCGAAAGCCUGACGGAGCAACGCCGCGUGAGUGAUGAAGGUCUUCGGAUCGUAAAACUCUGUUAUUAGGGAAGAACAAAUGUGUAAGUAACUAUGCACGUCUUGACGGUACCUAAUCAGAAAGCCACGGCUAACUACGU